GACGAACGCUGGCGGCGUGCCUAAUACAUGCAAGUAGAACGCUGAAGUGAGGAGCUUGCUCUUCUUGGAUGAGUUGCGAACGGGUGAGUAACGCGUAGGUAACCUGCCUUGUAGCGGGGGAUAACUAUUGGAAACGAUAGCUAAUACCGCAUAACAAUGGAUGACACAUGUCAUUUAUUUGAAAGGGGCAAUUGCUCCACUACAAGAUGGACCUGCGUUGUAUUAGCUAGUAGGUGAGGUAAUGGCUCACCUAGGCGACGAUACAUAGCCGACCUGAGAGGGUGAACGGCCACACUGGGACUGAGACACGGCCCAGACUCCUACGGGAGGCAGCAGUAGGGAAUCUUCGGCAAUGGGGGCAACCCUGACCGAGCAACGCCGCGUGAGUGAAGAAGGUUUUCGGAUCGUAAAGCUCUGUUGUAAGUCAAGAACGGGUGUGAGAGUGGAAAGUUCACACUGUGACGGUAGCUUACCAGAAAGAGACGGCUAACUACGUG
rnacentral:rRNA from 1 species